GAUGAACGCUGGCGGCGUGCCUAAUACAUGCAAGUCGAGCGAACGGACGAGAAGCUUGCUUCUCUGAUGUUAGCGGCGGACGGGUGAGUAACACGUGGAUAUCCUACCUAUAAGACUGGGAUAACUUCGGGAAACCGGAGCUAAUACCGGAUGAUAUUUUGAACCGCAUGGUUCAAAAGUGAAAGACGGUCUUGCUGUCACUUAUAGAUGGAUCCGCGCUGCAUUAGCUAGUUGGUAAGGUAACGGCUUACCAAGGCAACGAUGCAUAGCCGACCUGAGAGGGUGAUCAGCCACACUGGAACUGAGACACGGUCCAGACUCCUACGGGAGGCAGCAGUAGGGAAUCUUCCGCAAUGGGCGAAAGCCUGACGGAGCAACGCCGCGUGAGUGAUGAAGGUCUUCGGAUCGUAAAACUCUGUUAUUAGGGAAGAACAUAUGUGUAAGUAACUGUGCACAUCUUGACGGUACCUAAUCAGAAAGCCACAGCUAACUACGUG
rnacentral:rRNA from 1 species